rnacentral:rRNA from 1 species
CCCUUAGAUGUUCUGGGCCGCACGCGUGCUACACUGAGUGGAUCAGCGGGUCAGGUUGCGCGAAAGUGUUUCCUAAUCUUGAAAUCCGCUCGUGAUGGGGAUUGACGGUUGCAAUUUUCCGUCAUGGACGAGGAAUACCUUGUAAGCGCGGGUCAUCAUCCCGCGCUGAAUACGUCCCUGCCCUUUGUACACACCGCCCGUCGCUCCUACCGAUUGAGUGGUCCGGUGAGGCUUUGGGAUCUGGGCGGAAAGAGCGUUUCGCUGUUUCUGCCCGGAAAACUCAGUCGAACCUUAUCAUUUAGAGGAAGGAGAAGUCGUAACA